UACGUAGGGGGCAAGCGUUGUCCGGAAUCAUUGGGCGUAAAGCGCGUGUAGGCGGCUUGGUAAGUCCGCUCUGAAAGCCCGGGGCUCAACCCCGGGAGGCGGGUGGAUACUGUCAAGCUCGAGUCCGGAAGAGGCGAGUGGAAUUCCUGGUGUAGCGGUGAAAUGCGCAGAUAUCAGGAGGAACACCAAUGGCGAAGGCGGUUCUCUGGGACGGUACUGACGCUGAGACGCGAAAGCGUGGGGAGCGAACAGG
rnacentral:rRNA from 1 species